CCUACGGGAGGCUGCAGUGGGGAAUAUUGCACAAUGGGGGAAACCCUGAUGCAGCGACGCCGCGUGAGUGAAGAAGUAUUUCGGUACGUAAAGCUCUAUCAGCAGGGAAGAAAAUGACGGUACCUGACUAAGAAGCCCCGGCUAACUACGUGCCAGCAGCCGCGGUAAUACGUAGGGGGCAAGCGUUAUCCGGAUUUACUGGGUGUAAAGGGAGCGUAGACGGCAGCGCAAGUCUGGAGUGAAAUCCCAUGGCUUAACCAUGGAACUGCUUUGGAAACUGUGCAGCGAGAGUGCAGGAGAGGUAAGCGGAAUUCCUAGUGUAGCGGUGAAAUGCGUAGAUAUUAGGAGGAACACCAGUGGCGAAGGCGGCUUACUGGACUGUAACUGACGUUGAGGCUCGAAAGCGUGGGGAGCAAACAGGAUUAGAUACCCUGGUAGUC
rnacentral:rRNA from 1 species